CGUAGGUGGCGAGCGUUGUCCGGAAUUACUGGGUGUAAAGGGCGUGUAGGCGGGAAUGCAAGUCAGAUGUGAAAUGCCGAGGCUUAACCUCGGAGCUGCAUCUGAAACUGUGUUUCUUGAGUGUCGGAGAGGAAAGUGGAAUUCCCAGUGUAGCGGUGAAAUGCGUAGAUAUUGGGAGGAACACCAGUGGCGAAGGCGACUUUCUGGACGAUAACUGACGCUGAGGCGCGAAAGCGUGGGGAGCAAACAGGAUUAGAUACCCUGGUAGUCCACGCCGUAAACGAUGGAUACUAGGUGUAGGAGGUAUCGACCCCUUCUGUGCCGCAGUUAACACAAUAAGUAUCCCACCUGGGGAGUACGGCCGCAAGGUUG
rnacentral:rRNA from 1 species